AAAAAAAGUCUUCUUAAACAGCAGUUGAAUCAUUUCCUUUCAGAAGAUAUGAAGAAAGACACAAUAAAUAAACAAAUGUUGAUUUGGAGAAAUAUCAACAAAGGAAGACAGCAAUUUUAUGAAAGAGCUUACUAGGAGUGUUUAUCAUCAGCACUAUUCUCUAUGACAUCAGUUGAUUCUUGGAGGAGAAAUGGGAGAAAUGUCAUCUUACAUAUUAAUGUUAUGAUUGUGAUCCACCGAAACAUGGCCUGUGGUAUUCACACUAGUGUGGAGUGGUAUCACCUCCUGCUGGCACAACUAUCUUUGUCUUGACUUACCCAUAAGAGCCUCCUCAGAAAAGGAAAAGUCUCAAUGCA
rnacentral:lncRNA from 1 species